UACGAAGGGGGCUAGCGUUGCUCGGAAUCACUGGGCGUAAAGGGCGCGUAGGCGGCCUGAUAAGUCGGGGGUGAAAGCCUGUGGCUCAACCACAGAAUUGCCUUCGAUACUGUUGGGCUUGAGACCGGAAGAGGUAAGUGGAACUGCGAGUGUAGAGGUGAAAUUCGUAGAUAUUCGCAAGAACACCAGUGGCGAAGGCGGCUCACUGGCCCGAUACUGACGCUGAGGCACGAAAGCGUGGGGAGCAAACAGG
rnacentral:rRNA from 1 species